UCCGAAUUGGUGUAGUGGCUAACAUUUGACGCUCUCAUCUCAUGAAGUACCGUCAAGCCCGGGGUUCGAUUCCCCGAUUCGGAG